UCCUAGUGGUAGAGACGGCUUAUA
rnacentral:miRNA from 15 species